GUGUCCCUCAAUAUGUCCAUCCCUCCCUCCCCAUCACUGACAGGGAGAAAGUCUGGCCCAACAUCAGUGUACCUUUGAUGGAGGAAUGGUGUCCAGGGUGAUGUCCAGCUGACAGAGUCCGGGGGAGACGUGAAACAACCUGGGGGAUCUCUGAGCCUCUCCUGUAAAGCCUCUGGAUUCACCUUCAGCAGUCACAGCUUGAGCUGGGUCCCCCAGGCUCCAGGGAAGGGGCUCCAGUGGGUCGCAGGUAUAACUAGCAGUGGCAACACUUACUAUAUAGACUCGGUGAAAGGGCGAUUCACCAUCUCCAGGGACAACGCUAACAGCCAGGUGCAGCUCCAAAUAAACAGUCUGAAAACUGAGGACACGGCCUGUAUUACUGUGCCAGAGACACAUUGAGAGAAACCACAUCCUGAACCUGUCAGAAGCCCUGGGAGAUUCCCUGGACUACUGCUGGCUGGAUGUCCACUCAGAGGUCAUCCUGAUGCAGUCAUCCCCAGCACUGGCCCAGCCCUGGCCCAGCCCGGACAGUCCCACAGCCUGCAGUGCACAGUCGGCGGGUUUGACCCAAGCAGCUACUACAUGGGUUGGAUCUGACAGGAGAUUGAGAAGGGGCUAGAGAUGCUGGUCACUUACUAUAGCUCAAGUAAUAAUUACUACAACCGGCCAAACAGGGCCGAUUAACAGCCUCCAAGGACAGCUCCAAUUUCUACUUACAAAUGAACAGAGUCACAGCAGCAGACAUUAUUAUUUGAGAAUUACAUAGUGCGGGUCAGUGAGUGUGAGCUCAGACAAAAAACCUUGGCCUGUAGGAGGAGGCUGGGCAGGAGGGGGCCCUCAAUACCCACUUAGCACAAGGAGCCCAGUUGCAGGAGCAGGUGUCCAGGGUGAUGUCCAGCUGGUGGAGUCUGGGGCGGAGAUGUGAGACAGCCUGAGGGUGCUGUGCGACUUUCCUGUAAAGCCUCUGGAUUCACCUUGAGGGAUGACUUCAUGAACUGGGUCUGCCAGGCUCCAGGGAAGGGUCUGGAGUGGGUUGCAAGAAUAAAUAGUGAUGGAGGCAAAACAUACUAUGCAGACUCGGUGAAAGGCUGAUUCACCAUCUCCAGGGACAAUAGCAACAGCCUGCUGCAUCUGCAACUGAACAGCCUAAAAACCGAGGACACGGCCCUGUAUUAAUGUAUGACACGUACAUUGAGAGAAACCACAUCCUGAGCCUACCAGAAACCCUGGAGGAUUCCAGGUCUGCUGCUGGCCAGGGCAACAGAGCAGCAAAAGCCAGUCAACAAGUCUUGGCUCCUUAGCACAAUCACUGAUUGCAUUAUUAAUGUUGUUAGUAAUUACUAAAGAGUUCUCCCUGA